AGGAUUCCCCUAGUAACUGCGAGUGAAGCGGGAAAAGCUCAAAUUUAAAAUCUGGUAGUCCUCUGGCUGCCCGAGUUGUAAUCUAGAGAAGUAUUAUCCGCGCUGGACCGUGUAUAAGUGUCCUGGAAUGGACCAUCAUAGAGGGUGAGAAUCCCGUCUUUGACACGGACUCCCAGGGCUUUGUGAUGUGCUCUCAAAGAGUCGAGUUGUUUGGGAAUGCAGCUCUAAAUGGGUGGUAAAUUCCAUCUAAAGCUAAAUAUUGGCGAGAGACCGAUAGCGAACAAGUACCGUGAGGGAAAGAUGAAAAGAACUUUGGAAAGAGAGUUAAACAGUACGUGAAAUUGCUGAAAGGGAAACGCUUGAAGUCAGUCGCGUUGGCUGGGGAUCAACCUUGCUUGGCUUACUUCCCAGUUGACGGGUCAGCAUCAGUUUUGACCGGUGGAUAAAGGCUAGGGGAAUGUGGCACCUUCGGGUGUGUUAUAGCCCUUGGUCAUAUACACUGGUUGGGACUGAGGAACUCAGCACUUGUGCUUAGGAUGCUGGCAUAAUGGCUUUAAGCGACCCGUCUUGAAACACGGACCAAGGAGUCUAACAUGCCCGCGAGUGUUUGGGUGGAAAACCCGAGCGCGUAAUGAAAGUGAAAGUUGAGAUCCCUGUCGUGGGGAGCAUCGACGCCCGGACCAGACCUUUUGUGACGGAUCCGCGGUAGAGCGUGUAUGUUGGGACCCGAAAGAUGGUGAACUAUGCCUGA
rnacentral:rRNA from 1 species